rnacentral:rRNA from 1 species
CAUCCAGACUCCUACGGGAGGCAGCAGUGGGGAAUAUUGCACAAUGGGGGAAACCCUGAUGCAGCGACGCCGCGUGAGCGAAGAAGUCUUUCGGUCUGUAAAGCUCUAUCAGCAGGGAAGAAAAUGGCGGUACCUGACUAAGAAGCCCCGGCUAAAUACGUGCCAGCAGCCGCGGUAAUACGUAUGGGGCAAGCGUUAUCCGGAUUUACUGGGUGUAAAGGGAGUGCAGGCGGCUUGGCAAGUCUGAUGUGAAAGGCUGGGGCUCAACCCCAGGACUGCAUUGGAAACUGUUAGGCUGGAGUGUCGGAGAGGUAAGCGGAAUUCCUAGUGUAGCGGUGAAAUGCGUAGAUAUUAGGAGGAACACCAGUGGCGAAGGCGGCCUACUGGACGACAACUGACGCUGAGGCUCGAAAGCGUGGGGAGCAAACAGGAUUAGAUACCCGUGUA